rfam:Clostridiales bacterium 41_12_two_minus Ley3_66761_scaffold_10547, whole genome shotgun sequence.
AUCAACAGCCGCCCUAGAAGCUCUUAGUGUUUUGUAUAGGUAACAGCAAUGUCCGUACAAGGAAGUACGGACAAGGUGCACCUGAGCCCGGAUGGCGAAUGUGCACCGGUUGCGUGAGAUUACAAAAACUGAAUCAAAACACCUAGAGCUACUUGGCGGCUGUUACC